CUUCCAUCGGCUUAACUCUUGCCUUCUUCUUGGAGAGUCAGGUUCCUUCCGGUCCUUCCAAGAUGGCUCUUUGCUACUACAACCCUUGCAGCUCUGCCUUCUGCGGGAUCAACACGUCCUGUGCCACUCAGAUCCCACCUUCUGAAGUGGUGGUGCAGCCUCCCGCAUUCGGCGUGACCAUCCCAGGACCCAUUCUCUCAGCCACUUCUGAGUCAGUGGCUGUGGCAGAAUACUCUCCAUGUGCUAACGGAUAUGGCAGUUACCCUUAUGGGGGUUGGGGAGGUUACGGAAGUGGUUAUGGCUACGGUUAUGGAAGAGGAUACCGUUAUGGUUCGUGGUACCCAUACUGUUACCCUGGUUUUUCUCGAAGGUACCGCUAUGGCAGCUGUGGACCCUGCUAAGUGGGUUGGACUGUUUUGCUUCUGGACCUGAAUUUCAGAAAUGACGAGCACCUCUUUUCUCCUCAGAAGUCUAUGUUGUUUGGCGGGCCUUACAGUUUCCGAUAAGUUGGUCCAAAUCUGUCUCUCUUGUGGGUCUAUAUUUUCAUUGUCCUUCCUUUAUAUUUCUUUCCCGAGUUUUCGGUGAUUUGGCUGUUCUUUCUGCCUUCUUUUGGCUUUUGUUGGGGAAAGUCUUGCAAAAAUGUUACCAAAUUGCCACUCGCUGUUUUGCCUCGAGAGGUAUUCUGUAUUAAACUGCAUGCUAUCUUAUUAAAAGUAAACGUUUGCAUCUGA